rnacentral:misc_RNA from 1 species
AGUUAAACAGUACGUGAAAUUGUUGAAAGGGAAACGAUUGAAGUCAGUCAUACCAACGGGAAAUCAACCUUUUGAGCUUGGUUUCGUGGGUUUUGAAGAGUUUCAAAGCCUUCGGAUUCGCGAGAUUGGGAUCUCUCGGUGUACUUUCUCGUACGGUUAGUCAACAUCGGUUUUGAAUGUCAUAAAAUGACUAGAGGAAUGUAGCUUCGAUCUCGUAUUGAAGUGUUAUAGCCUUUGGUAGAUGUGAUGUUUGAGACCGAGGAUUGCAACGGAUACCCUUCAGGGCUAUUCGUCUGAUCUCUGAUACGUUGCCUUGAUGUUGAAAGCUUGCUUAUGAUGUUAGGGUAUUACGGUCAAAAGGUUAGAACGAAUUACAUUCGUUAAGGAUGUUGACGUAAUGACUUUAAA